CGUGACGUAUCGUGACGUGACGCUGCGUCUGUUGUCCCCUCGACUGCAGGCAAACGUGCAAUACCGAGAUGACCUCCCUGACGGACGGCUCUCCUGUCAGCGCCUCGGAACAGGAGGCUCUGGUUAAACCAAAGCCACUGUUGUUGAAGCUGUUGAAGUUAGCUGGUGCAGAAAAAGACACUUUUACUAUGAAGGAGGUAAUAUUCUAUCUUGGACAAUAUAUUAUGUCUAAACAGUUAUACGAUGAAAAAGAGCAGCAUAUUGUGCACUGUGCAAAUGAUCUUCUUGGGGAUUUAUUUGGAGUAACGAGCUUUUCAGUAAAAGAACACAGGAGAAUAUAUUCCAUGAUUUCCAGAAAUCUGAUAGCAAUCAAUCAACAAGACUCUACACUGGCUGUUCCACCUGAGGACGAUGCCAGAUUUCGGCUUGAAAAAGAAACUGUUCUAAAGGAGUCCAUGCAAGAGUUAGAAGAGAAGCAGACUUCAUCGAAUGCAACUUCGCAGCCAACAACAUCUUCUAGGAGGAGAACACACAGUGAAUCUGAAGAAAAUUCUUCAGAUGAUCUGCAUAGUGACAGAAGAAAACGUCAUAAGUCAGACAGCAUCUCGUUGACCUUUGAUGAAAGUCUCUCAUGGUGUGUAGUCAGCGGGCUGUGCCGGGACAGAAGCAACAGCAGUGAUUCCACAGACUCUGUUUCCAUUCCUGAUCUUGAUGCCAGUUCGCUAAGUGAAAACUCUGAUUGGUUUGACCACGGUUCUGUUUCAGACCAGUUUAGUGUAGAGUUUGAAGUUGAAUCUAUUUAUUCAGAAGACUAUAGCCAUAAUGAAGAAGGACAGGAGCUCACAGAUGAAGAUGAUGAGGUGUAUCAGCUGACUAUUUAUCAAGAUGAAGACAGUGAUUCUGAUUCAUUCAAUGAAGAUCCAGAGAUUUCUCUAGCUGACUACUGGAAGUGCCCUGAAUGCAGUGAAAUGAAUCCUCCGCUUCCACGCCAUUGCCACAGAUGUUGGGCCCUCCGUGAGGACUGGCUUCCUGAUGAGAAGAGCGAUAAACUGGUGAAGAGCAAAUUAGAAGGCUCUUUCCACCUGGAAUCUGACGAAGGUUUUGAUGUUCCUGACUGUAAGAAAGUGAAAACGGAUGAAGAUAAAGAACCAGCUGUGGAGGAGAAUGAAGAUAAAGCAGUACAGAUAUCUGAGUCCCAGGAAAGUGAAGAUUAUUCUCAGCCAUCUACAUCUAGUAGCGUGUUUUGCAGCAGCCAGGAGGACUUCAAGGAACCUGAGAAGAAAGAAAUGAAAGACAAAGAGGAAGGUACAGAGACCAGUCUGCCUGUUAGCAGCAUAGAGCCCUGUGUCAUAUGCCAAAGCAGGCCAAAAAAUGGCUGCAUAGUACAUGGCAAAACAGGACAUCUCAUGUCAUGUUUUACGUGUGCAAGAAAACUGAAGAAGAGGAACAAGCCCUGCCCAGUGUGCAGGCAGCCCAUCCAAAUGAUUGUACUAACUUAUUUUGGCUAGGGUGAUGGAAAGCAACAAAAGGAACUCAUAAACUGGUACAGCAAAUAAGAGAGUAAGAAAUUAUUUUUAUAUGCUUAUUGCAGAUGAAUAUUUUGGGUGUCUUUAUGUUUGUUAUGAAAAGUCAUUGCUGAAGUAAAUGCACUGGAGUUGUAAAGUUUAGCCUGAUAUUUGCUAGUUAAUUUAACGUUGAACAUUUUAUAUCUGUCUCAGUAGAAGUAACCAAUUCCUGUUGGUCAGUGUUUGACUUUCCAGGUGUUUUACUGUGCAUAAAAGUCAGUAACGUCUCUAUUAUGAUAUUGACUACAAAUAUUGCAAGCCCCUGUUCAGCGAUGAUCAGAAGAGGGACAUUUUGAAGAGUUCAUUUAAAAUCAGUUAAGAAGAAAGAAGAUUACAUUCCACAAUCUGUUGCCUAGCGAAAGCACCAGGCAGAAUCAGAACCAUCUGAAAGCCAUAUUUGUGCAGGAGGCUUUUGCCACGUCACGUAAUUCCCGACUUCAUUUGAAAAUGGAAAU